rnacentral:rRNA from 1 species
AUGAUGGCAUCUCCUGUCUCCGGCUCCAGACAUAACUCCAUGGGCACCAACGGAGCUACGGAGCCAACCAGUCUUACAGUCAGUGUAUUGCAGAAAAUCACAGAUAAUUUUUCCAAAGAGAGAACACUUGGUAAAGGCGCAUAUGGAAAGGUUUUCAAGGGGGUGCACGACAAUGGAGAAGAGAUUGCUGUGAAGCUGCUUCAUAAUAACAUGCGAGCAAUUGACGAUGAGCAAUUCAAGCAAGAAUUUAAUAACCUUAUGAUGCUCAACCAUCCGAACAUUAUACGGCUAGUUGGCUACUGCUACGAAACACAACAUCAACAUAUGGAAUUCCAAGGGAAAUUAAUUUUUGUUGAGAUGACAUAUAGAGCGCUUUGUUUCGAGUAUAUGCACAAGGGAAGCCUUCAGAAGUAUCUAUCUGAGGAAUCACAAGGACUUGAUUGGGACACACGUUACAAAAUAAUCAAGGGUACUUGCGAGGGCCUAAAAUACCUCCACGAAGGAUCCAAAGAGCCAAUCUACCAUUUGGACCUAAAACCUGACAAUAUACUGCUAGAUGAGAAUAUGGAGCCGAAACUUGCUGAUUUUGGUUUGUCCAAGCUUUUUGGUGAAGAACAAACUAGAAUCACACAGUCUCCCCUAGGAACGUUUGGAUACAUGCCGCCGGAAUACAUAAAUGGAAACAUAGUCUCGAAGAAGUGGGACAUAUUCAGCUUGGGAGUUGUGAUGACAAAGCUAAUUUCAGGGCCGAAAGGCUACUCCAGAAGUUACGAAAUGCCUUACCAAGAAUUUCUUGAUCUAGUACAGGAUAACUGGAGGAGCAGAUUGCAGGCAACAUCGAGUUCGUCCCAGCCACUAGAAGCACACUGUCAGCAAGUGGACAUAUGCACCAAAAUAGCGCUCAGCUGCAUGGAGUCUGAUAGGCACAAAAGGCCCACUAUAUUGGAUAUCAUAGCUAAGCUGAAUGAAACUGAAACUAUGAUUGAUGAGGCGUUGUCAUGGUCUGCAGCUAUGCGUUCAUGGAUGCAGGGAGACUUGGUGAAGUUAGAAGCCUUCACGAAAAGCGAAGCGAUUCCAAGCAAAGAGACGUGCAGUGAGUUCCCUGUGCUGUUGCGGAUCACGGUGACACCAUGGCAUGGCAUGGAAGAGAUGCCACGCGGGGGCGUGGACGUCGUGGUGGUGAUCGAGGUUGACUGGUCCAUGGUGCUUCAGUGGAGGCUGGAUAUCAUCAAGCAGGCCCUGAUGAUCGUCAUCGACAAGCUUGGCCCCAACGAUCGGCUCUCCAUCUUGUCAUUCGAGGGCAAUAUACCCCGCAUUAUGGAGCUCACACUCAUGUCCCGCCAAGGCCAAGAUGCUGCCAAACUCAUUGUCAAUGAGCUGGUGGUCAACCAUGGCUACAAUAUAAUUGCCGCCCUGCGAGAGGGAGCUGAGAUUCUGAGGGGGCGUCAAGCGGAGGAGGGUGACAGCCGUGUGGGCUGCAUCAUGUUGCUGUCGGACAAUAAUGACAUCAAUGGAAUCAAGGACAGGUACGACAAGGAAAUCAGCUCCGAAUUCCCGGCCUAUGUCUUUGGCCUGGGCGAGCUACACCACCCGGAGGUCAUGAAGUACCUAGCCGACAGGACCCACGGCACCUACUCUUUCGUCCACUACGACAUCAACGCCAUGAAGGAUGCCUUCGAGCUGUUCAUCAGUGGCCUCACAACGGUCGCCGCAACGGCCGUCAAGAUCACCCUCAAGGCCCACGAGGGUGUCUUCAUAUCAUCCAUCUACACCGGCGGAUACCACCAAUCUGUGAGCUCUGACAAACGAUCCGGCGAGAUACAUGUCGAGAGCAUGUACGCCGGCGAGCGGAAGAACUUCAUCGCCUACCUUAAAGUCGCCGACGGCGACAAGAAGAGGCUACUGACCGUUGGCGGCCGGUACCGGACCUUAAUGGCCAAGAAGAAGCUGGCUGACACGGACGUCUCCGUGCUGCGACCAGGUUCGGCAUGCUCACCUGCCGAGAUGGCCAUCCACCCUGAGGUGGCGGCGGAGCUCGUGCGGAUCCGGCUUCGGAAAGGCGUGGUCACGAUGAGUCGAAACCCUGAUGCCCUAGAACAGCUAUGGGCCCGCGUCAAGUGCUCCGAGGAGGGCGGAGGCGCACCCGAGGAAACCUUGUCGGCGCUCGGCAAUGACGUGGCUGAAAUUAAGAGAGUCAUCACGCACAACAGGUCGCCUCCUUACAUGAUGUCAUGGCUGACUGCUAGUGCAUGGCAGCGCGCAACCACCAAGGGCGCACGCUGCGUCUCCGGCGCUUUCACCGUGCCGGGGCAGCAGAAAGAUGCAGACGCGAAGGACAAUGGCCGCAAGUAA